GUUUUUAAUUAAAUUAUUAAAUAAUUAAUAUUUAAAAUAAUAAUAAUAUUUAAAUGUUUAAGUAUAAAUAGAAAUAGAAAAAAUUUAAUUAUUUAUAGAAAAUUAGUAAAUUAAUUGAAUAAUGAAAUAAAUGAAAAUUUUAUUUUUAUAAAAGUAAAUUUAAUUUAUUGUAUCUUGUGUAUCAGAGUUUAUUUAAAAAAAUUUUUAAAGUUUAAAAAAUUUAGAAAUUUAAAGAUUUAAUUAAUUAUUUUAGUUAAUGUAAUAUAAUUAUUAAAAAUAAUUAAUUUGAAAUGAAAUGUUAAUCGUUUUAAAUUAUAUCUAAUUUUUUAAGAAAUAAAUUGAAUUUAAAAAUUUAAUUAGAUUUAUUUUUAUUAAAUUGUAAUAAAUUAAUUUAAAUUUUAAUUUAUUAAGGGAUAAGCUUUAAUAAAAAUUUUUAAAUUUUAAAUUAAAUUUUAUUUAAAAAUAUAAGAAUAAAAUUAUUUAUUAUUAAAUAUUUUUUUACAAAAAAUUUAAAUAAAAUAUGUUAAAAAAAUUUAAUAUUUUUAUAAGAUUAAUAGAAAUUUAUUAAUUUUUUUUUUAAAAUUUUUAAAGAAAAGUAAUAAUGAUAAAAUUAGUAUAAAAAUUUUUUUAAAAAAUUAAAUAGGAAUUUUUAUAAAUUAAUUUUAUGAAUUCGGCAAAAUGAAAAAAUUAUAAUUAUUUAUUAAAUUCGCUUGUUUAACAAAAACAUGUCUUUUUGAUUUAAUUUAAAGUCUAAUCUGCCCCCUGAAUUAAUAUUUAAAGGGCUGCAGUAAUUUUAACUGUACAAAGGUAGCAUAAUAAAUAGUUUUUUAAUUGGAAACUAGAAUGAAUGAUUGGACGAAAUUUAAGCUUUCUUAAAUUAAUUUAAUUUUUGAAUUUAAUAUUUUAGUUAAAAAGCUAAAAUUUAUUUAAAAGACGAGAAGACCCUAUAAAUCUUUAUAAUUUUAUAAAGUAUUUAAUUUUUUAAAUUAAUUUUUUAGAAAAAUUAUUUUAUUGGGGUGAUAUAAAAAUUUAUUUAACUUUUUAUAAAAUUUUAACUUUAAUAUAAGAAAUAUAAAUUUUAUUUUUAAAGAUCUAUUAUUAAUAAUUUAAAGUUUAAGAUACUUUAGGGAUAACAGCGUAAUUUUAAUUUUAAGUUCAAAUUAAAAUUAAAGAUUGCGACCUCGAUGUUGGAUUAAAAUUUAUUUUAAAUGCAAAAGUUUAAAUAUUAAGUCUGUUCGACUUUUAAAAUUUUACAUGAUCUGAGUUCAAACCGGUGUGAGCCAGGUUGGUUUCUAUCUUUAAUAAAAAAAAAUUUUUUAGUACGAAAGGAUUUGAAAUUUAAAAUAAAUUUUAAAAUUUAGAAUUAAAUUAAGAUUUUUUAAUA
rnacentral:rRNA from 1 species